UGAGGAAUAUUGGUCAAUGGACGCAAGUCUGAACCAGCCACGUCGCGUGAAGGAAGACGGCCCUACGGGUUGUAAACUUCUUUUGUAAGGGAAUAAAGUGAGCCACGUGUGGCUUUUUGCAUGUACCUUACGAAUAAGGAUCGGCUAACUCCGUGCCAGCAGCCGCGGUAAUACGGAGGAUCCGAGCGUUAUCCGGAUUUAUUGGGUUUAAAGGGUGCGCAGGCGGGAGAUUAAGUCGGCGGUGAAAUUUUGCAGCUCAACUGUAAAAGUGCCUUCGAAACUGGUUUCCUUGAGUGUAGAUGAAGUAGGCGGAAUUUGUGGUGUAGCGGUGAAAUGCUUAGAUAUUGCACAGAACACCGAUUGCGAAGGCAGCUUACCAAGCUAUUAUUGACGCUGAGGCACGAAAGCGUGGGGAUCGAACAGG
rnacentral:rRNA from 1 species